UAAAACAUUGAUGAAGCAUGUGUUGAAAUUUUAAGAUUGUAAAUCUCUCUCGGACAAGGUGACUUUUGCAAAUAUAUUUGCCUGUAUUUACCCCCCAAAAAGUACAUGCUAAUUAGCCAAGCUUCACGUCAAUCACCAGGGCCAUGAUGAUCUGGACGAAACUACAGAAUCGAGGAAAAGAACCAAUGGGUGUGCCGAGUCUUAUCACCUCUCAACUAGGUGGCGGCUGCUAAGAAGAAGGGAGCAACAGGCCAGAAGACUGCAGCCAAGGCAGCACUGGUCCACACCUUCCCUGUCUGUUGGAUGCAGACCACGAAGAUAUUCAAGCAGCACUUUGAGAGCAAGCAUCCCAAGUCUCCAAUGGUCGUUUUACUGGUUGAUGUGCAGGCCU